rnacentral:misc_RNA from 1 species
CGGUGCUCCCCCGCCGAACGCCACCGAUGCUGCUCGUCCUUAGCCUCAGCCUCCUCUUUCUCCUCUCCCCCGCCGCCGCCCUCUACUCCCCGUCCUCUCCGGUCCUCCAGCUCACCCCCGCCAACUUCAAGUCCAAGGUGUUGGAGUCGAAUCGGGUGGUACUGGUGGAGUUCUUUGCGCCAUGGUGCGGACACUGCAAGGCUCUGACGCCGACGUGGGAGAAGGCGGCGACGGUCUUGAAGGGCGUCGCUACGGUCGCCGCGCUUGAUGCGGAUGCACAUCAGGCUCUCGCUCAGGAAUAUGGAAUCAAAGGAUUUCCCACCAUAAAGGUAUUCACGCCGGGUAAACCUCCGGUAGAUUAUCAGGGAGCAAGGGAGGUGAAGCCCAUUGCAGAGUAUGCUCUCCAGCAGAUCAAGGCACUUCUUAAGGAGCGAUUAAAUGGCAAGCCAUCUGGGCCGUCUGGAAGUUCAGGUGAGAAAAAAG